ACAGAAAGAGCAGCUCCUCCAACUGCAGAGGGAUCUGUGUUCAUUUUCUGAUUCAGCUCAGUGUGAGUCGGGAUGUAUUUGACCCCUCCUGAAUGUGAUGCUGCAGCUAGGUCUGGCUGUGAUACGGACGGACCACACAAACGUGCAACUCUUCCCAUUCAAUGGAAAUUAUUUUUCACUUUUUGCAUGGCUAAUGGCACUCAACUGAUGAAAAUCUACUUAAAUAUGGAUGAAAUUCAUCUUAAACAGCCUUGGAGAGAACACCGUCAGCAUACAGAUCUGUUCAUGAACUGAUGUAUAUGAAUUUACAUUGGGCAUCUGCUCCAUCUGCUCAAGAGCUGAAAAACACACUGGGAAAACUGUGCCAGCUCAAGGUCAUAAGAACUAAACAAUCCACAUGAGUGCACAUCCUCUGGGCAUCACCAGUGCACAGCACCCAGUGGUGAUGAAUAAGGAUGGGGAAGGGCAGAGACCGAGAACUCCACAUAACACAGGGCUUAAAUUCUCCACAAGCAGUUUUCAGGUGCUUGUUCCUCACCAUCCUCAGACCACCUCUGGCAUAUGAAGUUUGAUUCAAAGAAAUACAAAACUGAAUUAACUAGACUCAAUGAGAACUGCAUUUGGAAUGAGCCAUAUAAAUCCUCUCUGAAAAAUUAAGUUCCAAAUGGUGAAAAUGAAAUCAAUUAUCUUUUACUCCCAUGUCUCAAUAAAGAUACUCUUCAUCUCUAAAAUAGUAUUUUUUUCAUAGUAAGAUGUAUAAUGAAAAUAAAUUGAUUAAUGUUUUGUAAAACAUUCAGAGACUUCAAUAAUGACUCAAAACCAUGACAGACUACGUUUCCAACUCCAGACACGGGUAAUAAAUUACCGGCAAAAACCCGAAAUAAUCAUAUAAUGAAAAAGAGAUGUUCACUUGAGCACCACCCAGCCUUUCCAGGAACCACUUUUAUGAAGAACAUAUUCAUGAAGUGAGCAAACUGAAAUUCUAUGGGCAACAUUCAGUGAGGCACAUCUGAAAUCCUAAGUGCUUGUCCUUGGACCCUGAUUCUUAAACUAGUUUAUGUUGAUAAAAACCCAAACUGUAACUUCAUUGCAGUUCUGCUGUCUGAGAAGAAGGCCACAGGCUGUCUCAGCAGUCAGGCUGCAAAUGCAAGCAGCUCUGAGCAGCAGCUGGCUGAUGCACCUCCCCUGCUCGUGCUACCUGUUCUUUUUGAUUAAAUAAAAGCUUUUGGUUUACAAUUCUUACAUUCUGAAUGUGUAACAUUCGUAUUCCAGAAAAUAAAUAUCAGUAUUUUGACUCUGAUAUUUCUUUUCCCAUACUGCAACUUCCUAACACAGCACUGGGUAAGCAACUGCAACACUUCCUUUUUUUUUUUUUUAUUAUUUUAUUUUUAAUUGGAGAAGCAGCAAAAUUAAUUUUGAAAGCUUCCUCUGUCGAGGCUGAAAGCCUUUCCACCAAACUUCAUCCUGGAGUGAUAUUUUCAGCUGUAAUAUAGGGGUUUGUAAUGGAAAUGCUGACAGGCCCAUAAUUAUGGCAGCACUCGCGGGCACCACUAUAAUGGUAUAUCAGAUAGGCGUACGACUUAAAUUCGAUACAAGGGACCAGAAGAUGUUCGUGUCUGUCCUCAUUAAAGCAGCACUUAACAUUCCCUCAAACCUCUGUGGCUCAAACUAUUAAUUUGAUGUUCAGAAGGACACACACACUGGUACCAAUAGCAGCAAUGAUUAUAUCCCCUCAGUACUUCAAAUUGAAUUGGAGGAUCAUCCUAAAUGUUGAAGGUAAUAGAAACUGCUAAAAAUAAGUUCUAAGAAUAAUGAACACUUUAUUUUACAGGACAAACUGAAGUCAUAGAAAGUAAUAUACAAGUGAUGUGUUCACUCCUGUGUUCCGUAGUAUUUUAAAGCUUCUUUUUAUAUCCAAAUGUGCACUGUUAUGUCUGUGAUGUGAUUACACCUGGCACACCGAGGGAACUUCUGUUCCCUGGACCUUCCUUGAUAGCCCUGGCUAGAUACGAGUAGGAAAUUCUUGACACCUAUACAAGCUCCACAAGUACAGAGAAAAGAUGUUAGAGCCUGAAAAUCCAGAAGGUUACGUGGUUGAAUGGUAUGUUUAUUGACUACGUGGAUUUUAAUUCUCUUAAUCCCAAGAAAAUCAUCCAAUAAAUUGGUGGCACGAUUCCAACAUGCACAGUAAUAUUCUGAAUGUUUCAAUGAUAUAGAAAUCCACAAGUUUCACCUGAGAGUGUAUUCUAUAAUAAAGUUCUGUUCUCCUACAGAGGCAGAAAUACUGGUAGCAUUACUUCCAGCCAUGUAAACUAUUCCAUGAUUCCAGCAGACUCAAUCCUGUUUUCCUCCCUGCAAUGAAGUGCUCAAAAACAACAGUAGGAGUGAAUUUACCAGAAGGAGUAUUUUUUGGAGCAAUGGUUUUCUGAAACAAUCCCUUUUUCAAGCAUAAAAAGUUUCAAUAAACCAAAAUAACAGCAAUAAAAAAAGUAUGCAUCACAUUCUGCACAGAUCUAGGCAUACAGCUCUUAUCAGGUAAAGGAGAGAACAAACGUCACGUUCCACAGAAGCCUGCCUCACUGGAAAUGGGACUGACGGUGUUUUUGAUGACUAGGUAGAGAAAGAAAACAUCUCCCUGAACAGAAAGUACUUUCCCAUGGAAAGCUGGAAUGGUACUAUUUUGAGUAUUGCCCUAUUUAAACGCAGGGACACCCUUACUCUGUCAGUCGUGCAGACGUGAUCUGCAUGUUUUGAUGGCUUACAAUUCUGCCUCAGACUGCAGAAACUCCUUACAAAAGAUGAUUCAGAAGAUUAUUAUAUAUGCAUAUUUUCCUUUUACUGACAGUGAAGGCUUCCAGGGGCCAUCAGUUCAAGACUACAGCCUUCAUAGAGAGCAGGAGCCCAACAUCCAUUGAUGUCACGCUUAUUUGAACGCAGAGCAUAACUGACACUGCCAGAAUGUCUGCGUUUGUUGCCAUGGGAUGCUUCAGUUCUCUCAUGAGAGAGACAUUUUCUCUCUUGAAGAGGACAGGUUUUAAGACUUUUUUUUUGUUUUAAAUCAACAGAAGGCAACAAAAUUGCCUAUGCUCCAGAAUGCAGAUCCACAUGAAAAAUCAUUUCCCAUUAACUCUCUAAAAACGACAGAGUAGUAAAGUAGCAAGUGACACAGAGGAAAGAUUUAUCAGUGCUCACCAAGCG